GGGUAGAAGGAGCUUGCUCCUUUGAGACCGGCGCACGGGUGCGUAACGCGUAUGCAAUCUACCUUGUACAGGGGAAUAGCCCAGAGAAAUUUGGAUUAAUGCCCCAUAGUAUAUAACCUUCGCAUGUUGGUUAUAUUAAAGUUCCAACGGUACAAGAUGAGCAUGCGUCCCAUUAGUUAGUUGGUAAGGUAACGGCUUACCAAGACGAUGAUGGGUAGGGGUCCUGAGAGGGAGAUCCCCCACACUGGUACUGAGACACGGACCAGACUCCUACGGGAGGCAGCAGUGAGGAAUAUUGGUCAAUGGUCGCAAGACUGAACCAGCCAUGCCGCGUGCAGGAAGACGGUCCUAUGGAUUGUAAACUGCUUUUAUACAGGAAGAAACCCUCCCACGUGUGGGAGCUUGACGGUACUGUAGGAAUAAGGAUCGGCUAACUCCGUGCCAGCAGCCGCGGUAAUACGGAGGAUCCAAGCGUUAUCCGGAAUCAUUGGGUUUAAAGGGUCCGUAGGCGGCCUUAUAAGUCAGUGGUGAAAGCCCAUCGCUCAACGAUGGAACUGCCAUUGAUACUGUAAGGCUUGAAUUAUUGUGAAGUAACUAGAAUAUGUAGUGUAGCGGUGAAAUGCUUAGAUAUUACAUGGAAUACCAAUUGCGAA
rnacentral:rRNA from 1 species